rnacentral:rRNA from 1 species
AUAGAUGGGGCAAUUUAGGUGAGAUCCCAUGUAGAUCUAACUUUCUAUUCACUCAUGGGAUCCGGGCGGUCCAGGGGGGGCACCACGGCUCCUCUCUUCUUGAGAAUCCAUACAUCCCUUAUCAGUGUACGGAGAGUUAUCUCUCAAGCACAGGUUGAGGUUCAUCCUCAAUGGGAAAAUGGAGCACCUAACAACACAUCUUCACAAACCAAGAACUACGAGAUCACCCUUUUAUUCUGGGGUGACGGAGAGAUCGUAUCAUUCGAGCCUUUUUUUCAUGCUUUUCCCGACGGUAUGGAGAAAGCAGCAAUCAAUAGGACUUUCAUAAUCCUCCCUUCCUUUCAGGAAGAACGUGAAAUUCUUUUUCCUUAA